GCUGAUCAUAGAUGAAAUAUUAACAUGUACACGGUAAAGUAUUGACAGCUCGGCGGUCAUCAGCCCGCUGUGGAGCUCCUGUCAGUAGCAGCCAGGGGAAGAGGGACCAGCAGCUCUACUGCUCCGCAUGCAAGGCCAUUGCUGACGAACUGAACUACUCGAUCAGCCAGAUUGACC